GGACCUACGGGGCGCAGCAGUGGGGAAUAUUGCGCAAUGGGGGAAACCCUGAUGCAGCGACGCCGCGUGAGUGAAGAAGUAAUUCGUUAUGUAAAGCUCUAUCAGCAGGGAAGAAAAUGACGGUACCUGAGUAAGAAGCCCCGGCUAACUACGUGCCAGCAGCCGCGGUAAUACGUAGGGGGCAAGCGUUAUCCGGAUUUACUGGGUGUAAAGGUAGCGUAGACGGCAGGGCAAGUCUGGAGUGAGAGGCGGUG
rnacentral:rRNA from 1 species